GCAGUGAGGAAUAUUGGUCAAUGGGCGCAAGCCUGAACCAGCCAUGCCGCGUGCAGGAUGAAGCAUCUAUGGUGUGUAAACUGCUUUUAUACAGGAAGAAACAACUCUACGUGUAGAGUCUUGACGGUACUGUAGGAAUAAGGAUCGGCUAACUCCGUGCCAGCAGCCGCGGUAAUACGGAGGAUCCAAGCGUUAUCCGGAAUCAUUGGGUUUAAAGGGUCCGUAGGCGGCCCUGUAAGUCAGUGGUGAAAUCUCCCCGCUCAACGGGGAAACGGCCAUUGAUACUGCAGGGCUUGAAUUAUUGGGAAGUAACUAGAAUAUGUAGUGUAGCGGUGAAAUGCUUAGAUAUUACAUGGAAUACCGAUUGCGAAGGCAGGUUACUACCAAUACAUUGACGCUGAUGGACGAAAGCGUGGGUAGCGAACAGGAUUAGA
rnacentral:rRNA from 1 species